ensembl:lncRNA
GCUGGUGACAGUGUGAAACAUGGAGGAUCUUUGCAGCUGUUUUCCAAAUCUCCCCAAAUCAAUUAGCUGUGGAAUUGCCCAUUGACCUUAAUUAAAAAUAGACUUCAAUCCAUUUGGAUUUCAAAACAAACCCAAAUCAGAGAAGGAUGGAAAGGGAGGAGAAAUGAGGAUGGCAUAUGGCAGUUGUGUCAAAACCUCCUUUUCCCCAGGAAUGUUUCUGGUGUGUGAUAAGCUCACUUCUUGGCAGAAGAAAGAGCACAAAAAUGUUUUGACACCUGGCCAUUGUUGCUUCUGUGGAGAGAGAAUGAGGAGAGGGAGAUGGGCGAUGUACUUUAUGGAUGCUUCCUCAAUAAAUGGGUUACAGGGCUGUGCCCCAGCAAAAACUUUAUCCUGCUCUUCACUGCUGCUGUUUUCUUCCUUGUUGAUGCUAUCCUUUGUUUACUUUGACUUUCCUGUGCCCUGUGGUUGCCUCCUGCCUGCUCCCCACACCUGUAGCCACCAAUCCCAUCAGUGGUAACAAUGAGUGGGGGCUCCAGUGGGUGAAGCUGGUGGUGUCUCUGGAUGGCUUUCAGCUGCUUACGUGCUUCCCCACCCACUGCGCCACAGCUGGAGCUCUACAUAUCUGUGACUGGAACCCACAGCUUCUGAUGUUCUUAAAACUAUCCUCCUUCAAGGGACUGUUCCCUAUCUCCCAGCUUGUUUUAUGUAGAACAAAGAGACUGCUUUAUUCAGAUGAAAGAUCCUGAAGAUGUUGCUUCUCUAUCUUCCCAUAAGGUGCCAAAAAAUACUCUCAGAAAAUGUGUUCUUGGUUCCACGGGAAGAAAUGAUGAAGCAGCACUGGAUGCCUGGAAGGUCACCUUGCAAAACUUCCAGGUGAAAGGAGAAGGUCCCCGUGCUGGAGCUGAAGGAAGUGUCGGAGACGCUGGGAGGUGUGAAGGAAGGUGGACUGGCUUUGCUUGCUCUGGGGGACAGGGAAUCUGCUCCAGUCUCCUCAGCUCGCAGCUGCUCUCCUGGUUUCAAGAUGAUGCAUUCAGAGACACUUCCAAGCAAGGAGGACGACGGUUUGCUUGUAGUGCUGCCGGGUUGAAACUCUGCCCAAAAAGCACUGUGAAGCCCUCAUAAAGCAUCUAGUAAAUAUAAACAUCAGUUGUGAUAAGAUGAAAUGAAAGCAGUAACUAACAGCCAGGAUUAACAACCCAAAAUUUUGUGUUGCUCUAUAAACCUUGGGCUAGGCAGUGAAGCAAUGAGCAGGGCUGCAUAAUUACAGCCAUAAAAGUGCUAGUGUUCUCAGUACACUCAGAGCAGAAGAGUUGGGUGAAUACUGCUGAGCUUGGGAAGCUGUUAAUUUGUUUCGUUUCUGUAAAUUUCCAUCCUGUAAGCUGUCUCCUCAGCUGAUAUCCUCACUUACUUAACUUCCAUCCAGCGUACGCAGUGGAGUGCUGGGGACUUGCAGGCAAGACAAUGGCUCCUACAAAAUGAAAGCAGGGGUAACAGUAAUAUUCAUAGAUUUUGAGGCUGGAAGGGGUCGGUCAUUACGAAUCUGCAUCCUGCCCUUCCACAACAACUCAAGCCUUGAAAUCUCACCCAGCGUUUUCUCUAUCAUCCCCAUAGCUUCUGAUUUAGAUAGGGUGUAUUCUUUAGCAAGAUGUCUGUAGACCUUGAGUGAUGAGGAUGCUGCUGUGUCCCAAGAGAAGCUGACCAGUGAUUGCUUUUCUUCCCUAUUACAUACCUUCAGCUUUCAGCUUUGAAAGUAUAUUUUGCAGGGGUGUUUUUUUUUUUUUUUUUUUGGUGUGUGUGUGUGUGUGUGUAGUUGUUUUUGUACAUUUUUCAUACAAAAGGCAUAUUUUUCCAGAAUGCCGAAGGGCUUUUUUUGCUCUUUUGUGAAACAUUCUUUCCUCUUUAACUUCCAUCUGGAAACAUAGAUGCAGGAUCUGUUACAGUCUAAAAGCAUGGUUUCUAUCCAAUAUUCCCUGGGACUGGACUAGAAAGCUCUUGCCUGCGGUUUCUGCAGCAGCUAGUUAUGGAGGUGGUAUUUUGCGGGUAUUUCUUGUUUGUUUGAUUGUUGGUAGUUUUGUUUUGUUUUUAAAUUUGAGUUUAUUUCUCCUGUUCUGCAGUCAAAAAGUCAUCCGAAGGAGGAUGGGUUUUUUUGGUGAAAAUUGUAAGUCUCUGAGGGCGUAAUUUUUUUCUAUACGCUCUUUAUUCUCCUCUCUCCCCUUUCUGCUUCUGUCACGGUUUGGGAGACGUUGUCAAUUGCAGAAGUGAAGUAAUCCUUGUUUUCCGUGCCUCAGUUCAUUCACAUUGCUGUCUGUCUUUGAGGUAGGCUGCCAUAUUCCCAACCAAAUUGUGAACUGUUCAUUAACAAGUGUGACAAAACUAGCUACGACCUUUGGUUCUUCUGAAGCAGAUAGAGUUUGAAUUGAUGUGUGUGAUCACAGAACUGGUUGGUCCUAUCUCACACCUUUCUGCUCUGGGACCCCACUGCGUGGCUGACAGCACUUGAGAGAUACUGUGAUCUAAUAAAAGGUUCUUAUCUGGGUGUACUUCUCCCUUG